rnacentral:lncRNA from 1 species
CCCUGGCAGGUGGAAGUGAGGAGGAGGCUCCAUGUAGCCUUGGUAGUGCUGGAUCCAGAGGUCUUAAUGGGAGUGUUUGGAGGUCACUUGAAAGUAUGUGUGAGGCAGAUGGUGAGUCUGAUGAGGAACCUGAAGAUCACUUUAUCCUGGUGCUCGUGGCCUACUUGGUGUGCUGUCCCUUAGGAGCUGUGGCCAUGUACUAUUCUGAACAGACAAGGAAACACAACUAUAAGAAUGAACGAGACCUGGCAGCCGAGGCUUCCCGCUAUGCCUUCAUAUUUGCGAUUGCAGCAAUUCUGGUGGUAUGCAUCGGUAUAUUACUCCUCGUGAUUCUCUUGACAGUGGCCAUACUUUCUCGGUAACCUGCCUUCCAGCUCAUGAGCAAAUCACCAAAUAUAUACAGCAGCAUUACUUAGAUGGCUCUAAGUAUCCAUUUGGGCUAAAUGGGACAUCAGCUCCUCAAUGUCUAGAGUGCCAAGUGUUGCCAGCCUGAGCAAGCACCUUGAGGUUGUGGAAGUGGGGAGGAAGUGUAACGCAGCCCAUUUGACCUGUGCUCAAGACCAACUCUGGGACCCUGCCAAGGGAUGGGACCAUGGGAAGUAGGGUACGGCACUGUUUCCCCAGGGUACCCCCCCCUCCUGCCCACAUUCAUGCAUUGGUGCCAUAAACCUAUUUAUGCUGACCAGGGGCCUUGACCAUGCCGCGUGACUCUGGGGACAUAGCAGUGACCACUUCAGGUCCAAUCCCACCCUUCAGAACUUAGAAACCAAUGUGGCAGACAGACACAUCACCAGACAGUGACAGUCCACAGUGGUCCAAUCUCGAAGGGGGAACCUAGGGAGGAGGGUUGUAAGAGGCCAGACCUAAUCCGGGAACUUGUGAUCUCCCAGAAAUCCAGGGAGUCAGGCAGCUGUCGGUGAACUGGUUAGAAUUCGCAUCAGGUUAUGACGUAGAGAGCUUCUGUAACAGAUAUGGACUGCCUCCUCUCCCACCUCUCCCACCACCCACCAAUGCUUGUCGUUUAGUAAUCAUUCAACAAAUACAUUCUGAGUGCCUACAAUGUACCAGACACUGUACCAGGAACUAGGAAUGCAACAGAGCAAGAUAAGAAGAUCUCUUUCUGAUGGAGCUUACAUUCUGGCAGGGAAGGAAACCAGAAACAAAUAGACCUCUAAACACACAAGAUGAGUGCAGAAACUGCCAGUAACUGCUUCAAAACUUACAGCAACUUGAUAGGCCGGCCCCAUGGCUGAGUGGUUAAGUUCACGCGCUCCAUUUCGGUGGCACAGGGUUUCGCGGAUUCAAAUCCUGGGCGCGAACAUGGCACCGCUCGUCAGGCCAAGCUGAGGCGUCGUCCCACAUGCCACAACUGGAAGGGCUCACAGCUAAAAAUGCACAACCAUGUACCGGAGGGCUUUGGGAAGAAAAAGGAAAAAUAAAAUCUUUAAAAAACACUUACAGCAACUUGACAUUUUCAUGACAUCCAAGUAUGUGAUCAGGAGCCUUGUGUAGGUGAACAGGG